AACGCUAGCUACAGGCUUAACACAUGCAAGUCGAGGGGCAUCAUGCUUAUAGCAAUAUAAGUGAUGGCGACCGGCGCACGGGUGAGUAACACGUAUCCAACCUGCCGAUAACUCGGGGAUAGCCUUUCGAAAGAAAGAUUAAUACCCGAUGGUAUAAUAAAACCGCAUGGUUUAAUUAUUAAAGAAUUUCGGUUAUCGAUGGGGAUGCGUUCCAUUAGGCAGUUGGUGAGGUAACGGCUCACCAAACCUUCGAUGGAUAGGGGUUCUGAGAGGAAGGUCCCCCACAUUGGAACUGAGACACGGUCCAAACUCCUACGGGAGGCAGCAGUGAGGAAUAUUGGUCAAUGGACGAAGGUCUGAACCAGCCAAGUAGCGUGAAGGAUGACUGCCCUAUGGGUUGUAAACUUCUUUUAUAUGGGAAUAAAGUUCUCCACGUGUGGAGUUUUGUAUGUACCAUUAUGAAUAAGCAUCGGCUAACUCCGUGCCAGCAGCCGCGGUAAUACGGAGGAUGCGAGCGUUAUCCGGAUUUAUUGGGUUUAAAGGGAGCGUAGGUGGACUGGUAAGUCAGUUGUGAAAGUUUGCGGCUCAACCGUAAAAUUGCAGUUGAUACUGUCAGUCUUGAGUACAGUAGAGGUGGGCGGAAUUCGUGGUGUAGCGGUGAAAUGCUUAGAUAUCACGAAGAACUCCGAUUG
rnacentral:rRNA from 1 species